AUCCAGCUGAUGAGUCCAAAAUAGGACGAAACGCGCGUCCUGGAU
rfam:Schistosoma mansoni strain Puerto Rico chromosome 1, complete genome